CACUAUUUACUUCAUUAUGGCUUGAUUUUGUGAAUCCGAUGAUAUGCCUGCCUUAUUGGAUGCUUGUUACUGGUUUAAAUAUUCAUGAUUAUGUGAGAAACAGAAAACUAAGGAAAAAUAGAAAAGGUAUGUGAGUUGACAAAUGGAUAAGUUGACAGCCUCAUUAGAUAUCUUGGGAGAUGGUGGAUGAACCAAGUCCAUAGAGAACCCUACCGGGAACGUUGUCUCUCAUACCGGACGGGGUAU
rnacentral:lncRNA from 1 species